rnacentral:lncRNA from 10 species
GGGAGGCUGAGGCAAGAGAAUCACUUGAACCAGGGAAGAGGAGACUGUGGUGACCCAAGAUCACGCCAUUGCACUCCAGCCUGGGCAACAAGAGUGAAACUCUGCCUCAAAAAAAAAAAAAGAAAAAAAAAAAAGAGAAAGAAAAGAAAAAAAGAAAUUUAGCCAUGAAAUAAAUACAAAUUCACCAGUUUACAAACAGAAAAACUAUCUGAUCCAAACAGUGUUUUUUAUCUUAAUAGAAAAAUAACAGCAAAUUUAAAGCAGGCAGAGAAGAAACUAGAGAAAAAAGAGGACUCAGGAACUCUACAGUUUGCAGGUCAACCUCAGGGCUCCUUUUUUUUUAAUGUAAAUGUGCAGAAAGACCAUAUUACUUCCACUUUACAUAAACUCUGGCAAGUAGAGGCGCCAUGAACCCUAUGGAGUACUCGGCUGGGAGGAGCAAACGCCCUUUCUCUUUGGAGCUGAGAAAACUCAAUCUCUCAUUUACCUAUGACAACAACAGUUCAGUUCCUCAUGCAAAUACAUAGACAACCCAAACUGAGAUUCAUUUUGGGAGAAAAAGCAAUAGAGAAGACCCUUUAGGAUGCAUCUCUGAACUAGAAUUAGGAUCCUUAAAUCACAGCUUCCUAGAAGAGAAAAAAAAAAAAACAAAAAAACAGCCAAGACCAUUCCCUGUAAACUGUGCUCAGCCACCCCUUCUUUGUAGUUCUCGUCUGCCAUUACACACGCCAAGGUCAAAUCCUCUCACAGUGCAGGGUCAUCUCUGGUUCCCCCAAAGCCAAAGAGGUCAGGUCAUGCCGUACAGGAAGACAGCAGAGCUUUAGACCUAAGAAGAAUCCGCCCAUCACUCUUGAAACUCCACAAAGAAAACAGAGCACCCUGGAAGGGGUGAGUGGCCCCUUUGUUCCGGAUCCUUUAAAGGGGCUCGAGUCAUUGGAAGCCUUCUCUAGAUUUUUUUGGUCCCGCAGAUGGCAAAGGCAGGAGGAGGUAUAGGGAGGAAGAAAAGUAAGUGAAAGAGCAUUUGUUGUUUUUGUUUGUUUGUUUUUUAAGACAGAAAGCAAACACAGAAACCAAGCACGUGAUUUGUUGUUUUCGUUUAGUUUUUUCCUCUUUUGCAGCUGCAAGGAAUUUUAGCCAAAUUAGAGAGGCUUUGUUACCCAUAAUUUGGAAUUCUCACUUGGAUUUGACCAAGUCAGGUAGAGUUGGUCAAAUCUGAUGAGAGAAAGACCAGAAAAAACAACAACAACAAAAGUCAAAUGAUAUGACCACAGACUGCUCUAAUGGGAAGAAGAAAUUCAGACCAGCUGGUUGUUAACCUUCAGCCAAGACAAAACCUCAGUUCAGCUACUUACCUAGGGAUGGGUCUCAGGCUGAAGACUGCUCUCUACCAUCCUUGAAGCAGGAAAAAAACUCGAACUUGUCUUCCCUGCUGGGAGCAAGCUCAAACUCCAUAAAAGAGUUGUCAGCCUUCCAUCAUCACGGACCCAGGAAAUCUUGCCUUCCUUCUUGGAAGCAAAUAAAACUCCAAAAGAAGGAGAGGGGGAGUUGUACAUCAAAUAAACUUUAGAUCACGACCAAGUUUUGAGAGAUCAGGGACUCUAUGGAGGGGGUGCUCCCAGACCUCAGCAAAUUGUCCUGUUGGUUUGAGCCAUAAGGUUAGCUCAUGGUGCUACCAAGCACCAAUAGAUCUGUCAAAGGUCAGGGGUACCUCAACUCAGAAUCCCUCCAUGGUUACCAAAAUGUGAACCCCCCAAAUCUGAGACAGGUCUCAGUUAAUUUAGAAAGUUUAUUGUUCCAAGGUUGAAGAUGCACACCCGUGACACAGCCUCAGGAUGUCCUGACGACAUGUGCCAAGGUGGUCAUACGUUUUAGGGAGACAUGAGACAUCAAUCAACACAUGUAAGAUGAACAUUGGUUCAGUCUGGAAAAGGCCGGGCAACGCCAAGCAAAUGUGGGACAACUCGCAGCCAGGAGAAAGCUUCCAGGUCACAGGUGGGUGAGAGACAAAGGUCGCAUUCUUUUGAGUUUCUGAUGGGCCUUUCCAAAGAAGGCAAUCAGAUAUGCAUCUAUCUCAGUGAGCAGGGGGUGAUUUUGAAUAGAAUGGGGGGCAGGUCGGCCCUAAGCCAUUCCCGGCUUGACUUUCCCCUUUAGCUUAGUGAUUUUGGGGGCCCAAGAUUUAUUUUCCUUUCACAAAACAAUAAACAUAACAAAUAAGUGAAUUAUAGAAAGGUGAAAACUAUGGAAAAAAAAGAAAAACAGAGAGAAAGAAUCCUGAACACUGACGUGGGGAGGGCAGGUGCCAGCUGCAGUACUAAAUAGCAGAGGGGAGGGCAGGUGCCAGCUGCAGUACUAAAUAGCGGGGGAAGAUUUUUUUCUGAGCAACUUUGAGUCACUGCUCACAUCUCAUGCCAAUGUAUUAAUCCCAAGUCAAGGGUCAGAUGAGGCACUCGGAUCUCUCCAGUUGCCAACACAGCUCUUCCAAGUGUACUUUACUUCCUUUCAUUCCUGCUCUAAAACUUUAUUUAUGUAUUUAUUUUUGAGACAGAAUCUUGCUCUGUCGCCUAGGCUGGAGUGCAGUGGCACAAUCCCAGUUCACUGCAACCUCUGCCUCUGGGAUCAGGCAAUUCUCCUGCCUCAGCUUCCUAAGCAGCUGGGAUAACAGGCGUGCACCACCGUGCUUGGCUAAUUUUUUUUUUCUUUUUUCGUAUUUUGAGUAGAGAUGGGGUUUCACCAUAUUAGCCACGAUGGUCUCGUACUUCUGACCUCAGGUGAUCCACCUGCUUUAGCCUCCCAAAGUGCUGGGAUUACAGGUGUGAGCCACCACGCCCAGCCCUGGCCAACUUUUGUUUUUUUUGAGACAGAGUUUCAUUCUUAUUGCCCAGGCUGGAGUGCGAUGGCCCAAUCUUGGCUCACUGCAACCUCUGCCUCCCAGGUUUGUAGGAUAUAAUAAAUUCUUCUUCAAAGGUUUUAGCCUGUAAAUUGUUAAGUACAAUGAGUUCUGAGAUCCUCUCCAAAGAAUCAAUGUAUCAGUAUGUUCAGCUCUUCAUUUUAAAGUUUAACUUCCUCGUUUUCUUCAUCUCCUUGCCCCUAGUUUCAGUAAACAACCCCCUCCUAGCCUCUAUCACCUGCUCCAUCCUGAGUCACCCCCAGUCACCUGCUCUAAUCUGAGUCAUCCUGAGUCAACAGGGUUUCACCAUGUUGGCCAAGUUGGUCUCGAACUCCUGACCUCAUGUGAUCCGCCCACCUCAGCCUCCCAAAGUGCUGGGAUUACAGGUGUAAGCCAUCGUGCCUGGCCAGUUUUCACUUUAAAAUGAUCUCUAAUACCAACUCUUGGGGUCCGAAUGGGUCCCCACUGGUUUCAAAUGUUGAGCAUGCACAGAUUAUGUGGAUGAGAACUUGCCAGGUGGGCUUACCGAAGGAGACGUGGUAAGAAUCGCCUACAUCUGCCAGGCCCUGAGGACAGGCCCUCUCCACACCGAGGCUUAUUUCCUUGGGUUGCAGAAGAGGAAACGCCAGGGAGCCCAGUAUUCUUUGGUUCAUUCACUUCUUUUUUAUGUUGUAACCUACAUACUGUAAACUACGCCCAGCUUAAGUAGCGUAUACCCUGAUGAAUUUUUAUGUACGUAUGUAUCCCCAGGAUGUAUCCGACACUCAGGUCAAGAUACAGAACGUGCUCAGCACCUCAACAGGUGCCCUUGUGUUCCCUUCCAGUCAAGCCCCCACUUGCCACCACAGAAUGGAACAAUCAUUUUUUUUUUUUUUUUAGAGACAGGGUCUCGCUCUGUCUCCAAAGCUGGAGUGCAGCUCCAUCAUGGUUCACUGCAGCCUCCGCCUCCCGGGUUUGAGCGAUCCUCCCAUUUCAGUGUAACCACCAUUCUUAUCUCUAUCACCAUAGAUUAGCUCUGCAUGUCUUUGAACUUCAUAUAAAUGGAAUCAUGCAUAGAUAGGCUCUUUUGUGUCUGGAUUCUCUCUGUUAACACUGUGUCUGUGAGACUCACUCACGCUGUGUGUAGUAUUAUGCUUCAUCCUUUUUUGUUGUUGCAUAGUAUUCCACUGUAUAAAUAUACCACAAUUUAUUUGUCUGUUUUCCUAUUGCUGUGCAUUUGGAUUGUUUUGUUUUUCACUAUUUUGAAUAAAGCUGCUAUGAACAUCCUUGUGUAUGUCUUGGGUAUACAGAUGGUCCUGGCUUACAAUGAUUGGAUUUAAAAUUGUUUGACUUUAUGAUGGGCUUAUCAGGGUAUUAAAUGUGUUUCUGACUUACAGUAUUUUUGACUUACCACGUGUUUAUUGGGACGUAACCCCUUCCUAAGAUGAAGAGCAUCUGUAUACAUCCAGAAUCCUGUGGAGCAACUCAUAACCCAUGAGGAAUGGAAGCCGACAGACAGACUCAUCCCCAGGACAGGUGGUUCUCACUACAUCUCAUAAAGCUUCUUAGAAGAUCUUACAGGAUUGAGCAACCAGCCAGCCACAGCAGGGGCCAACUGGAUAACACGUCUUUGCAUAGGCUCUCCCUCUGUCCCUGUCACCCUCCCCUUUUCCUAACCUUGUUCCUUGGGAUUAUGUUUUGAAAUAAAUUAUUCAGAGAAAUGAAGCCAAAGCUGACCCAUUAGCCAAUAGCUAGGUUCUGUGAUGACAGAGCUUCUGGGCUAUAAUCGUUUACUGAGAAGCCAGCGUUCCUGAGGGGAUAAUGGCUCGUUCCAUUCAGCUGCAGCAUAGGAGUGAGGGCAGGGCAUUAGCAGAAGAUAACACCAGAAACGUGCUCUGGGGCCUGUUGAUGACUUUCUGUGCCAAGCACAGACAUUUAGCCUUUAUUCUGUAUGUGAUGGGAAGCCAGUGCCAGUGGUGGGUUUGAGCAGGGAACCAGCAACCAGUGGUGGGUUUGAGCAGGGAACCAGCAAUACUCAAGCUCUGCUUGGAUGGAGGCCAGUCAGGGAGGAGUUAGGGCAGGAGGACCAGUCAGGGAGGAGACUUAGGGCAGGAGGACCAGUCAGGGAGGAGACUUAGGGCAGGAGGACCGGUCAGGGAGGAGACUUAGGGCAGGAGUACUGGUCAGGGAGGAGACUUAGGGCAGGAGGACCGGUCAGGGAGGAGACUUAGGGCAGGAGGACCGGUCAGGGAGGAGACUUAGGGCAGGAGGACCGGUCAGGGAGGAGUUAGGGCUGGAGGACGGGUCAGGGAGGAGACUUAGGGCAGGAGGACCGGUCAGGGAGGAGUUAGGGCUGGAGGACCGGUCAGGGAGGAGUUAGGGCAGGAGGACUGGUCAGGGAGGAGUUAGGGCUGGAGGACGGGUCAGGGAGGAGUUAGGGCUGGAGGACCGGUCAGGGAGGAGUUAGGGCAGGAGGACAGGUCAGGGAGGAGUUAGGGGAGGAGGACCGGUCAGGGAGGAGUUAGGGCAGGGGGAUUGGUCAGGGAGGAGUUAGGGCAGGGGGAUUGGUCAGGGAGGAGAGUUAGGGCAGGAGGACCGGUCAGGGAGGAGUUAGGGCAGGAGGACUGGUCAGGGAGGAGUUAGGGCAGGAGGACAGGUCAGGGAGGAGACUUAGGGCAGGAGGACCGGUCAGGGAGGAGACUUAGGGCAGGAGGACUGGUCAGGGAGGAGUUAGGGCAGGAGGACGGGUCAGGGAGGAGUUAGGGGAGGAGGACUGGUCAGGGAGGAGUUAGGGCUGGAGGACCGGUCAGGGAGGAGUUAGGGCAGGAGGACCGGUCAGGGAGGAGUUAGGGCUGGAGGACCGGUCAGGGAGGAGUUAGGGCAGGAGGACCGGUCAGGGAGGAGUUAGGGCAGGAGGACCGGUCAGGGAGGAGACUUAGGGCAGGAGGACUGGUCAGGGAGGAGUUAGGGCUGGAGGACCGGUCAGGGAGGAGUUAGGGCAGGAGGACUGGUCAGGGAGGAGUUAGGGCAGGAGGACAGGUCAGGGAGGAGUUAGGGCAGGAGGAUCGGUCAGGGAGGAGUUAGGGCAGGAGGACCGGUCAGGGAGGAGUUAGGGCAGGAGGACCGGUCAGGGAGGAGUUAGGGCAGGAGGACAGGUCAGGGAGGAGACUUAGGGCUGGAGGACUGGUCAGGGAGGAGUUAGGGCAGGAGGACCAGUUAGGAGGCAGUGACUUAGGACUUCAGCAGUGGCACUAGAAAGGGGAUGGAUAUGAACGACAUUGCAAAGUAAAACUAGAGAGACGGCCGGGCACAGUGGCUCACUCCUGUAAUCCCAGCACUUUGGGAGGCCAAGGCGGGUGGAUCAUGAGGUCAGGAGAUCGAGACCAGCCUGGCCAACAUGGUGAAACCCUAUCUCUACUAGAAAAAAAAAAAAAUAGCCAGGCGUGGUGGCGGGCGCCUGUAAUCCCAGCUACUCCAGAGGCUGAGGCAGGAGAAUUUGCUUGAACCAGGGAGUCGGAAGUUGCAGUGAGCUGAGAUCGCACCACUGCACUCCAGCCUGGGCAAUAGAGUGAGACUCCGUCUCAAUAACAAAACAAACAAACAAAAACCUAGAGAGACUUGGCACCUUGCAGAGAGAAGCAAAAGAUGACCCUGAGGUCUGGAGUCCAGGAAGCCAAGGACAGCAAAAGCAUCCACAGAAACAGGAAAAGGGCAGGUGUGGGAGGGAAGGUGAGAGGUUCAUCAGACCUCACAGCCCCUGGCAGCGCCUCCUGGAUCUUUGAAAUCCUGUGCACCCCAGGAGACUCCGGGAGGCCCAUCUGAGCUCACCGGAGACAGGUCUGCCGUCUCUCCUCUCAUCACUGGGGACAGAAAGCCUGAACAUGAGGCCUGGACUACGGGGCUCAGACCAGAAUAUUUCCAGACUUAAGGGCAGUAAUGUGGAGCCCAGGAAGGAAUAUUGAGGACAGAGGGCACAUUACUUAGCUCAAGGGGUGCUGGGUUCUUAUUUUCUACUUUCAAGAAAUGUUUGCUAUAGUCACUGUAACCACCACAAAACAGUGAAUAAUACCAUGAGCCAAAUGUAUGUUUCACAAUUUGUAUGGCUGAUUCUACGCACAUUUAAAUGUGUUUAUGACAAUUGUAGAUUUCGGUUUUCCUCUGG